rnacentral:piRNA from 1 species
UGUGCUACUGCUGGUUGCUAGGGACCUA